ensembl:lncRNA
GCAUUGCUGGAGAUAAUUUAGGCUCGCAUUGCAUUGGUGGCUUCUCUGAAAAUUUCAGUCGCUCACAGCAUUUUUGUAGGUACUGCCGAAUAACCCGGUCUGAAUUUCAGAGUUGUGAUCCAAAUGUGUGUGGACGAGAGCACACCAUUGAGAGCUACAAUUCAGCUGUUGAUCGCCUCCAGACUGAAGAUACACCAGACGUGGAAGGAGUAAAAUUCAAGAAUGGAUGAUGCAGAGCAAAGCAACAUAUGCAGUGCCAUUACUAAGAUGUUGCCAGACCUCCCUGCCUCAGUUCUAAAUACUGUAGAGGAGAUGCUACAGUCGUUAGGGGUGGAGACCACAGAGGAUUUUCAGUUCAUUCAGGAAACGGAUCUGCUUUCAGUAUUGAGACCAAUUCAAGCGAGGAAAUUGGUAGCUGCCUGGCUACAACCCACACGGAGCACUGAAAUCCACAUCCAGUCACCAUUUACUUCUCCAGCUUCCUCGACGCACUCCUCAUUCUCCUCUGACUCGCCAAGUUGGCAAAUACCUGCUGCUGAUUGGGUUGACAGCUUCAAGAUUCCAUGGGAGAAGUUUCCAGAAGCGUUGAU